GGAUUAUAGAGAAUGCUGCUGAAGGGAUUUCAUCUUGUCCAUAAUCACCUGACUUGCGAAAGCAGCUCUUGUAUCGCUGAGAUUAAGUAUUGAGUGACACUACAGCUAUCCAAGGUGUUUUCUGAGUUCCAUCGUCAUCAUGAUUAAUGUUGAACCUAUGGAGCCAAUUCAACUGUGAGCUUGACACCACAGCUGAUUGUCCUGUCCAGGUGGAGGGCCUCACAGACGGGUAAGACAGCAGAGGCACUGCGGAGAUCCUAGGAUUUAUGACCUCCAGAAACAACAUGAUGUACACAUGAGAUGCAUUCUGGCCCUUCGUGCCCUCCCAGUGGACCUGCGAGAGGAUGACUGAUUUCUUCAAGACCCGCAAUGUAAGUCCUCAGUAUACUCACACACAAUGUCAAUAUCAUUGAAAUGUACUAUGGCAAACCAACUUCAAUGCCUCUUCCAGCAUUUAACAGACUGACAGACUUCACUCUGUCAAAAACUUGGUAGCCUAUUACAUUACAAAUCGCCAUGGAUAUUUUACAAGUAAGACCAGGUAAAGCAGCAGUCAACAAAAAAAACGGAAAAAAGACAAGUUCUGUGUCAUUUAGGCAACUUUAUCAAACAUACUGCUGAUGGAGAAAGUGGAGU